rnacentral:rRNA from 1 species
GGCUCAGGACGAACGCUGGCGGCGUGCCUAACACAUGCAAGUCGAGCGGGGAUAUAAGGAGCAGCUUGCUGCACUUUGAAUCUUAGCGGCGGACGGGUGAGUAACGCGUGGGUAAUCUGCCUCAAACAGGGGGAUAACACAGGGAAACUUGUGCUAAUACCGCAUAAGACCCCAUCAUGGCAUCAUGAAGAGGUCAAAGGAAGAAAUUCCGGUUUGAGAUGAGCCCGCGUCUGAUUAGCUAGUUGGUGAGGUAACAGCUCACCAAGGCGACGAUCAGUAGCCGAACUGAGAGGUUGAUCGGCCACAUUGGGACUGAGACACGGCCCAGACUCCUACGGGAGGCAGCAGUGGGGAAUAUUGCACAAUGGGGGGAACCCUGAUGCAGCGACGCCGCGUGAAGGAAGAAGGCCUUCGGGUUGUAACUUCUUUGACCAGGGA